CCGGGCUUCUCGCCUCCAGGAGCCAUCGGAGGAGGCCCGCGUGAGUACGGUCCAAAUAAGGGGGCUACAUGUAAGACAAUAGGGGGCAUUUUGAAAAAAACUGGAUCGCGGUUAAUAUUCGCGAUCCAAUCCAGGGUGCUUCUGCAAAACUCCCGAUAAUCCAGGGUGCUUCUGCAAAACUCCCGAUAACUAUCUCCCGUCCGCCGCGGCUCGCCGGAGCGCCGCAUCACGCCUGGCGCCGCUUGGGUGCCUCUUCUUCCUCUCGACAGUCUCGCAGCAGCCCUAAGCUGCGUCGAGCAAAGGGGUUUGGAUUUUCUGGUUGGUAUUCAGCCCAGCUGGACACGAGCCUCGGAGGAACCGUCUCACACCGCGCUCGUCGUGAACCCGCCGCCGUGCCGCACUCCCCUCCCUCCCGCGGUCCUCGGCAAGACGGAACUGCUUCCAUUCGUGUGCCUGAAGUAAUUCCUGCACUCACCCCGUCCCCGCCAAUGCGCUGCUGCGUCGGUUCUUCAUGGGCUCAUUCCCAGUGCGGUCCUCCGCGGUGCCAUUCAGCAUCAAAAUGCGGUGUCCCCCGGGCUUAAAGAAUCCUAGUGCGAAGUUGCCGUCCUGAGAGAUCAGUUUCUGGUUCCCGGAGAGCUGCUGGUUUGCAGUGAGGGUAUCAGAGGGUUGAGAUUGAUAUUGGAGGAAAAGCAGCAGAAGUAAGCAUAGGGCGCAUGAAGGAGGAGAGACUGCCAUCCACAAAAUUAAAGGAAACGGAAGGGUGGCAUUUGUUUUUGAGGUGAGAAAGAACUUGUUAUGAACCCACAGACACACACAACACACACUGCCACACUGGCUGUUUAUAUGCGCAGCAGCCUCUACUCAUGUUAGUCGUAGCAUUAAUUUGACUAUGUCAGAAUUUGUCGUUGUUUUUCAUUGGAAGUCCAGUUCUGUGUCCCUUUCUCGAUGUUGAAGCCGUUGUUUGUCUGGCUAGAGGUGUCUUCUAGUUUCAGCUUUCAAUGGCCUUUGAUGUUUUCAUUACCGUCCAUUUUCAGUCGACAUUAUUCCGGUUGUUAGUUAAUUCUGACCAGUGAGUAUUAGCCACAGUGAUUUGAAAUGUCUUCAUUCUAACCGUUGAAUCGUUAAAAGGUAAAUAGGUCCAUGAAAACGAUCUAGGACAAGGUGUGGUGUCAGAAAUGUCUGUGGAUGACUAGGGAUUGUCAUGGCCAGACUGUGCAGUCAAUGGUUAGUUUGGCAGCAACAAGGGACAAUUUGUUGGAAUAUAAGUGAAUUGCCUAUCUCUCCCCAUCAGUUUAAGCUUUUGGAUUGAACUGGUCAGUGCAUGCAACUCAAUAUUGUAUUAAAACCAGAGGUCUCGAGUUCGAAUCCUGGUUAGCGCAAUUAAAUAAAAUAAUUGUUGUUCGCUCCUAUUCCACGUUUGAGGCCUGAGGGAGCCUUCACGUGAGGGGGAGUGUUGGAAUAUAAGUGAAUUGUCUACCUCUCCCCAUCAGUUUAAGCUUUUGGGUUGAACUGGUCGGUGCAUGCAACGGCGGAGCCAGGGGGGCCAGCAGGGGCCACGGCACCCCCCAAUCUCACAAAAAAUUUUAGGACCCCCUCAUCCUUCAUCCAGUAGCCACGGCAAAGCCCAUAUAGGCAGUGUUGCAUAGGCCCAAUAGAAGCCCCGGCCCCACGGGAGAGGGUCGUGGAGCCGCGGAGGGCAGCCACGGAGGGUAAUUCCCUGCGCCGUCGCCAUCGCCCGUCGCGGCUGCCGGCCAGGCGCCAGCCCAGGCCAUGGCUAUCGGCAGCUCGCCUUCCCUGCCGACGAGCGGAAUCACGAGCCUCGACGACGCCGGACAGGAGCGACGCGUGGAGGCGGAAGGGAACCAGCAGACAGCCCCCACGCCUAAGGUCUGCAAACCUAACAUUUUUCCCCCAAUUCUAUUCUGUUCUUUGGUGAGGAACGAGCAACGCUGGGAACGAGGAUUCAGUAUUGCAUAUUUGCAUCUGUAGUCCGUAGAACACUAGAAGCUAAGAAAAGAAAUAUGCCUUUUGUAAAGUGCAGCUAGCUUUUGUGAAUGGGCUAUGGUUUCUGACUACAUGCCUACACGAACACCAUAAAAAUUUGGUGUCAAAUACACUUAAUGGCAAUAUUAUCUAAUGUAUACAUAUUGAUUUUGGUCUUCUGGCCCCCCCUUGGAAUUUUUGGUGGCUCCGCCACUGGGUGCAUGCAACUCAAUACAAUUAUGUGUUUGUUCUAAACCGUAUCUUGUCCUCCGUUUACUGCACCAAAUUCCACUAGUCCUCUGGUCAUCAGAUUUUCUUUGCUUAUUCUUUCCUUUCUAGAUUCCAUUUACUCUGUUUAUAUCAGCUGUUUUAGCUUCCUUUUACAUGAUUCUGCUUUGCCACGUAGCUGUGGACCGGUUUAGUGGUUACAACAGGAGGCACGUUUUGCUGACUUGCUAAGAUAUAACACGUCUACCAAUCCUACCUAAAUUUCAUCUAUAGGUUAGCGGCCUCCUAGGAAGGCAAGCUUUUCUCAAUUCUCAAACCAACAGUACUAUUGAAAAAAAUGAAAACAAACCCCAAUAAAAUCUACCGGUCCCAGUCUCGUUCACCCAAUAGUCUGUCCACCUGACAAUCCUAGAUCCUACCAGUUCUCCUUUUUUUAUAUUGUGGAACGAAUUCCUCCGCACUCCUCUUUUCCUUGUAUAUGUUGCCAUUUGCCAUGCAGUAGCGCCAGGCCAUGAAAUAUGAAACCCACACUGAUAGUCUGAUAGCCCACGGCCCAGUAGGACAGAGGCAACAGAGCAGGCGGCCCCACCUUUCUCCCAUCUUGUCACUUCUCGCUUGCGGCUCUACGUCUCCGACUUCGACGCACCACCACAGAAACCUCCCCUCCAUCCUGCAGUCCUGCCUGCCUGCCGCCUCCCAGUCUCAGCGCUGCGUCCUCCCUCGGGGCCUGCGUCUGACGGCAUGGAUAUCAUUGCUCCUUGGCUCCUUGCGGGGCAUCCGCGAUUCAGCAUCGUCGUGCUGUGUCUCUUGGGCUGAAAGAAUCCCAGUGCAAAACUGCCAUCCUGAGAUAUAAGCUUCUGGUUCCCGGAGAGCUGCUGGUUCGUAGUGAGGGUAUCAGAGGCAUGCAAUGGCGACUGUUUGAGAGACAGGAGCAGUAAAAGCAAGGAUAGGGUGCAUGAACAAAGCCGUGUAGCCAUAAUUCCCCCGGGGUGGGGGGGGGGGGGGGUGCGAUGGUCUUCACUUUCCAAAGGGCUACUUGCAAUGAGCUCACAGUUCAGAAACACAUUGGCUGUUUAUAUGUGAAGCUAUUCUUGAUGUCAUUUAAUCUGACUUCUGUACGUAUUCCAGUCCUCUUCUAGGGAAAUCCGGUGCUGUGAUUCUCUCCUGAUGUUGAAGCCGUUAGUUAAAAAAAGGCCCUUCUUUGGAUGUACAUUUCAGUCCGCAAUAAUGCUAUAUUCUGAACAACGGUCUGGGAUAAUCCUGGUUAUCAAGUUUGCUAUGUGCCUUCGUUGGUGGCCUGCUUUGUCAAGUGAAGGGAGUUUGUAAUUCCUUCACUCCUAGCCUCCUAACGAGCAGGGUGAUGGUUCUCACACAAAAAAAAGAAAA